GGCCCGGCUCGCUAGGUUGGUCCACGGUUGGAAGAAAAUCCCUACUCACGCCCCGCCGCCGCCGCCGCCGGAGGGAUCUUCGGCGACCGCCGCCGCCACCCGAGGGAUCUUCGCCGACGCAAGUUCACUUCCAAUGAUAAGGCAGAGGAUAUCUUCUUGACAAACAACAUAGAGCCUACAGUUGAGAGUCGGGAGGGCCCUGAAAGGAAACCUCGAGAUGGUGCGGUUCAACAUGAGAUGGCUUGAUGGUACGGUGUGACUAUGUGAAGCUUCUGAUGCUUCAAGAAAAUGUAAAUUCACUAUUAUAGUACUAUGUAGGAGGUAUGAACCAUGCAACAUUCUAUUCUUACUUGCUUUUGAUGGACCCUUGAUGUUGUGAUGUCAGUUAUAAGCAUGGGUAGACUAGUGGCGCUGGUGAUGUGGCAUGCCUGGUGGUGCAUAUUCCACUUUCAGUUAAGGGAGUCAUGUCACAAAUUGACUAUCAACUAACAAAGCAUUGUGCACAACUGCAUUUGAAUUAAGGUUGUCUUGUUUGUUAUCUUUUCUGUGUACUUCUGGUCUAACGAAGUUGAGUAACAAGAUGCCAUAGUAUCACGACUAAAAUUUUACUGAUCUUUGGUAAUGGCUGUAGUUCUACAUUCUAAAAAAAGGCCCUGGUUGGUUGAAAUCUGAAGGGACUAGACAAUCAGAACGAUCAUAUAAGGGUCUUGUAAUUGGUGCCAUUGACUAUCAAGGAAGCCUAUAAGGUUAUUUACAUAUUUUCCAGCAACUAUUUGACUCAUGAUUUUUGUUCGUAUCCGUUGCAUUUUUUACAGACACCUGCAUUUGCAAGGCAAGGAGUUUGCCCAGUGCAUAUGAAGCUUGAUAUAGAUGUGCCAUUUGGAUUCUAUUUUGUCCGUGUGGCUGGUAGGUAAAAUGGUUCGAAUGGGAAAUGGAUGUGAUUUGAUCUGAUCCAAUUUUUGACGACUUUGAUUUCCUUGAGCUUGUUUGCGGAUGUUUUUAUAGUAAUUCUUGGAAUUUAGCAUAAUGUGUUCCUGGAAAUUGUUGCAUGAAUUAUCUGAAUAAUACUAAUGCACUUCUAAUUUGCCAUUUGUUUCCUUAGUGCUUGUUACUGUGCAAUCCUAGUUUUUGCCUGCUGGUUAACCUGAAACAUGAAGCAAUGCUGCUUGCAUGUGUAAAGUUUUUGAGAAACCAGUGUUGCUGCAUGUGUAUAGUUUCUGAGAAUGGUAAAAUCAGUUACACUGUUUGAUUUCUGAAACUCUCUACAACUUGAUAUAGUGCUAUUAUUUGCAGAGCACCAUGGUUUGGCAAUUUAUGUAAUAUAGUUGUAAAGCAACAUAGCUCUGAAAACAAUUACUAACUGAAAUGAUACAUAAUUUUCUAACCAAUGCAGGAUCAUGUCUUGUACCAGCUUGUUUAUUCAACGUUGUGUUUGAUUUCUUGAGUCGAGGCUUCUCUUUCUGCUCCAUGCUCCCCCAUAGACUUGAGGUACAGUUCCUGCAGGUUUCCAAUACUGCCAAGGGCUACGGGAAUAUUACCGGAGAACUUAUUCAUGGUCAUGUUCAGCUUACUGAGCCCCUUUAUAUUCUUCAGUGAUUGAGACAACUGGUUUCCUGAUAGAAUCAACGCGUUAAGGUUUUUCAAGCUACCAACUUCACUGGGAAGGGGUCCAGAAAAGGAGUUAUAUGACAAGUCCAAGAAAUCAAGGCACGCUGGACCUUCCGGCGUUGGUGCAGUCGGUGGUGCGUGAGGAGGAGAUGGUCGCGCUACUGCAGGCAUCCGCGGAGCUACGGCAUAGCACGCCGCUGGUCUCCAGCAACCGGCGCACCGCACACAUCCGUGCCUCCCAUGGCCAGAUGCCCGGACGGCCCGCCGGCACAUAGCUACACAAGAGUGAGCUUCACUUCUCUGAAUUUUGAGUUUAGUGUCGUGAUUUGGAUGGACGCCCGGACUGCCUGUAGGCACAUAGCUACACAACAGCGAGAUUCAGUCAUCUGAAUUUUGUGUUCAGUUUCGUGAUUUGAAUGGACGCCCGGACGGCCCGCCGGCACAUAGCUUCACAACAGCGAGGCUGGCUUCAGUUCUCUGAAUUGCACAUAGCUACACAACAGCUAGUCCAGCUUCAGCUCUCUGAAUCUUCAGUUCCGUGUCGUGAUUUGGUUCUACACUUCGACGGAUAACAAGCCAGCGUCCGACAGUGAUCCACUGUUCACCGAAACUUCGUCGGUCAGUUCUACACCUGAGGUAUGUCGAAAAAGAGGCUUGAAAUUAUGGUCUUUGGUUCUCUGACAACCUGCAGUUCAUUGCUUCAAAUUUGUCUGCAACCUCUCUUCCUCCCCAACUUGCUUUGACUUCUUGACUGCAUCUCAGUUUGAGCUGGUCUAUUUUAUUUUACUGCUUGGCCCCUAAUAAUCUCUCUUUGCAUGUAUUUAUUGGCACUAAUUAACCUUGAUGAGAUAGCAAUGUUUCUUACUGGAGAGAUCCAUGCAUCUACAAUGUAUUUUUACAACCAGCAGUUCCUAGGACUAGCACAAAACAUGCUCAAUGGCCCUGAAGCAAAAUCCGAUUACUAACUGAAGUGCACUAGCGCAGGCAACUAGAUUUUGGAUGAGAACACAUUUCAAUUCUUUAUACCAGUCUGCAGCCCAUGAAUAGAGCACAAUUACACUUCUUAAAAAUUAGCCCCGGUCAUGGUCGCUGCCCCAAGCAAGCGCGCGGCUGCGGCAGUGGAACCAUGGCUCGAGCUCGGCGCUUGGGCUAGCGUGUGGUCCGCCACGUUCGGUGUGGUCUUUGGUGACACGCAUGAUGUGAAUUGACGCCAUGGUAUCUGCUGAAGCAAAUCUAGAUGCUUCAGUUCCUGGAGGUGCUGGACACCCGUCAUGCAAUGGUACAGUCAGUCAAUUGACAGAAAAGCUAUUGCCUUUCCAGUGUUGAAGUAUUUUCCUUUUUGGCUAGAAUUAUUCCAAUACCAUCGAUGAUGUUGCAAGAUCUGAAAAACAGUUUUGACAUUGUUAAUGGCGUCCCUCUGCAGAGAGAAAAUGAAGAACAUGGACAUAUUCUCGAGUCAAAGUUUCCAGCGAUGAGAAAGGGCUAGCCGACAUCUCUCAGCUGCUGAAAUUGUGCAAUCUUGGUGUAGUUAUUCAUGGUAGACAUUCCAAAUUAAAUGAUAUAUUUCGCUAGAUUGAGAAAUUGCAUACGGAAAUGCGCAAUCAAACAGCCGUCAGGUACUGAUGGGAGGACUACUGAAGCAGCGGAAACACACAAGUUUGUUAUCCACAGUUUCUUCAGAAGCUAAGCAUCGGUAGCAUUACAAGUGGGCUUCCUCAUUUAAUCCAAAAGACCCAUCAAGUUGCAAGCUAACAACAGUGAACAUGACAUUUCUGAAAGCAGAUGACCCGAGCAUCCUCUACUACUUUCGUUAGGUGCUUUUUAUAUCUUGCUUUGAGUUGACACAUUUUCUUCUUUCGUAGAUGCAAAGCAUUCAGGAUGUGAUCAAUCCAUACACUGGAGAAUGGCAACGAGACCUUCGGUCACUGGAUGUGAUCAAUCCAUACACCAUAUUUACGUCAUGUUUCUUCCCCGCCAUUUAAGUGUGUGCCAUUCUAUCUUUGUUCAUGUUGCUGACAGUACAUUUUCAAUAUUCUCAGGAUUUGGUUAUGAUGAUGUUUCAUACUGCUGCUCUGGAGUCUACACCUCUUUGGACUGUUGGGGACACUUAUAGCCAAUGAGACUACUUUUUCGGUUGUUGGCUGGAGCUAUCACUAUGACUGAAAAUUUAUUUUCACUCAAGUAAAUUUAUAUGCUCACCGAAAACCAAUGCCAUGUCAGCACUUAUCAGCAGUUUGCAAUUUGUAUUAGAAUGUGCCUAAGCCAAUGGUCAGACAAUGUUGUUUUAGAUAUGAAAUGCAGAAAAUGUG